ensembl:lncRNA
CCUGUUGAUCCAAGAGCAGAAUUUUUUUGUUGGUGUUUUUGGGCUAUGAAGUCAGGCCAUCACGUUUUUGGGAUAUCCCAGGCGAUGCCAGGGCAAUUUCAAUCAGGUUGCUUUAUCAGAUUUUCUUUGUCUCUUAUCUUUCCCCUUUCUUUACUGUUAGGAUAAAAAAAUCUUGGCUCUUAAGAGUUGGUUAUGUGUUGCUACAAUGGUCAGCUGCAGCUUUUAGCACAGUAAGCAGAUACCAAACUAUGAGAUAGCAUAAAAAUCCAGCUGCAUGUAUGUCCAAUGACACAUCUGGCCUCCAGGUCCUUCCCAGCUCACGUCCUGCACACUCUUGUGCCUUUCCAGCAUGGGGCUUAACCUCAUACUCCCCCAGGAAGGGAAGGACGUGCAUCCUGCCUGUUCUGUGCAUACGAUGUUCCUCUCCAUGGUCUCUUUCCAAGGUGUUGGUCUCCAGAAUGCUCCUGGCUCUGCUCUUCUUGGAAGCAAUGGUGAGACAUCUGUCAAUGUGAGCCCACAGAGGGAAGCUGAGGUCUGCUCCUGGCACUAGGAUCCCGUAAACCUUCCUGUAAGAGUGUGUUGCUUGGAUGUGAAGAGAUGCUAUCGAUCCGACAAUGGAGGUUGCAGAUGAAGGAGAAAAGGUUGGAAUUGAGCUGACAGCACUUAGCUGCAGUAAGACAUAGCAGAACGAUGGCUUGCAUAAAGCCAGAGGGCCAGGCUGUAUGGUCUGGAGCCUCAUGGGGAGUCCUCUAAGUGAAGGAUGAGCCCUGAUCUGCAAAGGAGAUCCACUCCCACUGAACAAACCAGGUUCCUCCACCUCCUGAGCCCCAGCGUUGUUGCAGAGGAGGAGAGUGGCAUAGCAUGGCUGCAAAGGAAAGAGGUCUGCAUCAGAAGGAAAACCUCCUGCCAUGUCAGCUUGAUCAUACCUUCCAGUGCAACAGCCUUCCCCAGCUACGUUAAUGGCUGCUUCCUGUGGACUGGAAGUAUUGCCAAAGAGUGAGUGAUCCUUACUAAUAUGCAUCUCCAAAAACAACAGGCAGUCUUGCACAGAUCCUCUUAACACGUAUCUUUGGAUUUUGAGACGGUUGAGAGCUAUUUAUUCCCUCUCACACCAAUAUCAUCCAUAGUGCAAGAUGUCUUGAGCUGAUUAAAAAUCUCUUUAAUCAAAUACUGGCAGGGGAAAUGUUCAAAACAUUAGAAGAAUGACUUUGACAAGCUGCCCCUGAACUGAGUGACUUCAUCCAGAGGUUGGCCGGCGUGUGAUACAAAGCCUGCACUCACCUUCAUUUCCAAAGCUGCCAACAAACUGCAGUGAGGAUGCUGAGAGCCAGUAGGGCACUGUAGCCCGUGUUCGGUUCUUUUCUGUGAGAUACUGCCCCCCCAAAAGACCUUUGUUGCAGGCAAAAUCCAUUGCUCAAUUCACCAACCAGUACCUACGCUUGAAAUUCCUAUAUCCCAAAUCCAUGGGAACGAUUUUGAACAUGAACGUAGGCUGGAAAUCAUUGCUGUGCAGAUUGUCUACAGGCUUUUCCCCCCUUUUCUAUGGCUGAAAUGGACUUCAAAAGGAUAAGUAAAAUCCAUUCUGGUAGCUCCCUCUCCCCGUGAGGAGUGUAUUUCUUUGGAGAAAGGGUAAAAAGAAACCUCCUGAUAUAUUGUUCAACCAGAAUUAAGUGUUUGGAUUUGUGGGAAUUCAGCUAAUUUUCUUACUCCUCAAAAUAGGUCAGCUUUGGAAUAGAAAAUGUCAUGCAGAAACAACAAAGAAAUGGAAUAGAUUUGUUUAGUAAAUGUAAGAUUAUGUAUACAUACUUUGGGAAUUUUAACAAGCUUAUGAAUGGAAAGAAAGCAUCCAGGUUAUUUCUUAUUCAAUUAGACUUGGAUUUGGGAGCAGUUUUCACUCUCCAUAAACCGCAUUUCGUUUUCAUUUAGAAAAUCCCCUUCCCGAUACAAGCCCCUUCCCCUAUCCAUUGCUAAAAGAAAUAGCUGUAGUAAUAAGCUGGAAUUAAUACAGCUACACUGAGUCAACUAAGAGCUGACUUUUUCUUUCUCAAUGCUAUCUGGGCACCCAGACGUGCUCAAUAGGAAGUGUUGGCACUUGGGGCUGCAUAUAGAAAAUCUUGUGUCAGCAGCCUUCUCCUUGUGAGUCUUCUCCAAGCUUUGUCUCUAUUCCCUCAUCCCUCUGCAAAUGUCCUAAGCCACAGUUCUACUUCCAUUAUGACAAAAAUUGUGCAAGAUAUUCAUCUUGCAUUCAUCACUAUACAUACAUACAUAUAUAUAUAUAUAUACAUAUAUAUAUGUAUGUAUGUAUGUAUAGUGGCAUUUCCGUGUCCCCACACCCUUCUCUCUUUGUGGCGUCACUUAUGGAUGUGUAAGCAGUAGGUUGGUUUCUAUUCUCACUCUGGGGGGGUUGGGUUCCAAACUGUUUAUUGAGUAAUAAAAAGAGAAAAUUGCGAGUCGUUGCCUAGGGA